GAUAUUAUAGCUCAGUGGUAGAGCGCAUGCUUAGCAUGCAAACGUCUUGGGUUCAAUACCCAGUAUCU
rnacentral:tRNA from 1 species